GUCUUGGUAUAAGUAUGUCCCAUGCAAUAUUUGGGACAUACUCAUACUAAAA
rnacentral:pre_miRNA from 1 species